rnacentral:rRNA from 1 species
AACGUUGGGAACUAGUUGUGGGGUCCAUUCCACGGAUUCCGUGACGCAGCUAACGCAUUAAGUUCCCCGCCUGGGGAGUACGGCCGCAAGGCUAAAACUCAAAGGAAUUGACGGGGACCCGCACAAGCGGCGGAGCAUGCGGAUUAAUUCGAUGCAACGCGAAGAACCUUACCAAGGCUUGACAUACACGAGAACGCUGCAGAAAUGUAGAACUCUUUGGACACUCGUGAACAGGUGGUGCAUGGUUGUCGUCAGCUCGUGUCGUGAGAUGUUGGGUUAAGUCCCGCAACGAGCGCAACCCUCGUUCUAUGUUGCCAGCACGUAAUGGUGGGAACUCAUGGGAUACUGCCGGGGUCAACUCGGAGGAAGGUGGGGAUGACGUCAAAUCAUCAUGCCCCUUAUGUCUUGGGCUUCACGCAUGCUACAAUGGCCGGUACAAAGGGCUGCAAUACCGCGAGGUGGAGCGAAUCCCAAAAAGCCGGUCCCAGUUCGGAUUGAGGUCUGCAACUCGACCUCAUGAAGUCGGAGUCGCUAGUAAUCGCAGAUCAGCAACGCUGCGGUGAAUACGUUCCCGGGUCUUGUACACACCGCCCGUCAAGU